GACGAACGCUGGCGGCGUGCUUAACACAUGCAAGUCGAACGGAAAGGCCCUGCUUGCAGGGUACUCGAGUGGCGAACGGGUGAGUAACACGUGGGUGAUCUGCCCUUCACUUCGGGAUAAGCCUGGGAAACUGGGUCUAAUACCGGAUAGGAGCCAUUUUUAGUGUGAUGGUUGGAAAGUUUUUUCGGUGUAGGAUGAGCUCGCGGCCUAUCAGCUUGUUGGUGGGGUAAUGGCCUACCAAGGCGGCGACGGGUAGCCGGCCUGAGAGGGUGGACGGCCACAUUGGGACUGAGAUAAGGCCCAGACUCCUACGGGAGGCAGCAGUGGGGAAUAUUGCACAAUGGGCGCAAGCCUGAUGCAGCGACGCCGCGUGGGGGAGGACGGCCUUCGGGUUGUAAACUCCUUUCGCUAGGGACGAAGCUUUUUGUGACGGUACCUAGAUAAGAAGCACCGGCUAACUACGUG
rnacentral:rRNA from 1 species